GAUGAACGCUGGCGGCGUGCCUAAUACAUGCAAGUCGAGCGAACGGACGAGAAGCUUGCUUCUCUGAUGUUAGCGGCGGACGGGUGAGUAACACGUGGAUAACCUACCUAUAAGACUGGGAUAACUUCGGGAAACCGGAGCUAAUACCGGAUAAUAUUUUGAACCGCAUGGUUCAAAAGUGAAAGACGGUCUUGCUGUCACUUAUAGAUGGAUCCGCGCUGCAUUAGCUAGUUGGUAAGGUAACGGCUUACCAAGGCAACGAUGCAUAGCCGACCUGAGAGGGUGAUCGGCCACACUGGAACUGAGACACGGUCCAGACUCCUACGGGAGGCAGCAGUAGGGAAUCUUCCGCAAUGGGCGAAAGCCUGACGGAGCAACGCCGCGUGAGUGAUGAAGGUCUUCGGAUCGUAAAACUCUGUUAUUAGGGAAGAACAUAUGUGUAAGUAACUGUGCACAUCUUGACGGUACCUAAUCAGAAAGCCACGGCUAACUACGUGCCAGCAGCCGCGGUAAUACGUAGGUGGCAAGCGUUAUCCGGAAUUAUUGGGCGUAAAGCGCGCGUAGGCGGUUUUUUAAGUCUGAUGUGAAAGCCCACGGCUCAACCGUGGAGGGUCAUUGGAAACUGGAAAACUUGAGUGCAGAAGAGGAAAGUGGAAUUCCAUGUGUAGCGGUGAAAUGCGCAGAGAUAUGGAGGAACACCAGUGGCGAAGGCGACUUUCUGGUCUGUAACUGACGCUGAUGCGCGAAAGCGUGGGGAUCAAACAGGAUUAGAUACCCUGGUAGUCCACGCCGUAAACGAUGAGUGCUAAGUGUUAGGGGGUUUCCGCCCCUUAGUGCUGCAGCUAACGCAUUAAGCACUCCGCCUGGGGAGUACGACCGCAAGGUUGAAACUCAAAGGAAUUGACGGGGACCCGCACAAGCGGUGGAGCAUGUGGUUUAAUUCGAAGCAACGCGAAGAACCUUACCAAAUCUUGACAUCCUUUGACAACUCUAGAGAUAGAGCUUUCCCCUUCGGGGGACAAAGUGACAGGUGGUGCAUGGUUGUCGUCAGCUCGUGUCGUGAGAUGUUGGGUUAAGUCCCGCAACGAGCGCAACCCUUAAGCUUAGUUGCCAUCAUUAAGUUGGGUACUCUAAGUUGACUGCCGGUGACAAACCGGAGGAAGGUGGGGAUGACGUCAAAUCAUCAUGCCCCUUAUGAUUUGGGCUACACACGUGCUACAAUGGACAAUACAAAGGGCAGCGAAACCGUGAGGUCAAGCAAAUCCCAUAAAGUUGUUCUCAGUUCGGAUUGUAGUCUGCAACUCGACUACAUGAAGCUGGAAUCGCUAGUAAUCGUAGAUCAGCAUGCUACGGUGAAUACGUUCCCGGGUCU
rnacentral:rRNA from 1 species